UCAGAUGGUAUGUUGAAGAAUACAGUAAAGCUUAUUGGUCAGUGUUUCAACCGCAGAAAUCUCAAGAAAGACAGUCCCCUUAGGAAUAAUUCUUACUCAAAGUUUAAUUCAAAAUUUGUCAGUCCUGUACAAUGAUGUAUUUUUGCUUUGCACCCAUAUCAUACUGUGAUGCAAUUCCUGUUAUACAGCCCCUAACAAGAGAUGUGGCAUGUCAAUGUGAUGCUCCAUAUUUGAAGAGUGUGUCGAUCCAAACAAUAACACAAAAGCUGAAAAGACGGAGUAAAGCGAUUCAAGUGAAGCCUUUUGGACACUCUGUUGGCAUCUCUUGUUCCGAGAGUGUUGGCACAAGUCUUGAACCUCCGUAUUUCACAUCAACACCAAUUAAAAGGCCACAAAUUGAAGACACCAUGAUCAAUGACAGCUCAACAUCCUCAAAGCAAUUGUCAGAUGUCAACUAUGAGCCUGAUAUCACUCAAGAAGGCAGUGAAAAGUCUGUUCACAGUGCAUCCACAAAACACAGUGGAACAGCCAGCCAUUCAUCUGAAAUACACCAGCUGGAAAUCUGCAUUUGUCGGCGGCAGUAGCCUUUAGUGGCACAUCUUACAUACAGAUCCACAAGGUCCUGUCAGCUCUGUCUGGAAUGCAUUUGUCAUCAAAAGGUCUUUCUCCAGCCAACAAUCUUGUGGCACUGGAGGUCUGAACAAAAUAAAAUUUUGGAGAGGGUAAGGUGUUCUGGAAAUGCUGUUGUCUUGGAUGGUGACAUGAGAGCUGAUUCA